rnacentral:rRNA from 1 species
AGAGUUUGAUCCUGGCUCAGGACGAACGCUGGCGGCGCGCCUAACACAUGCAAGUCGAACGAGCGAGAGAGAGCUUGCUUUCUCGAGCGAGUGGCGAACGGGUGAGUAACGCGUGAGGAACCUGCCUCAAAGAGGGGGACAACAGUUGGAAACGACUGCUAAUACCGCAUAAGCCCACGGCUCGGCAUCGAGCAGAGGGAAAAGGAGCAAUCCGCUUUGAGAUGGCCUCGCGUCCGAUUAGCUAGUUGGUGAGGUAACGGCCCACCAAGGCGACGAUCGGUAGCCGGACUGAGAGGUUGAACGGCCACAUUGGGACUGAGACACGGCCCAGACUCCUACGGGAGGCAGCAGUGGGGAAUAUUGCACAAUGGGGGAAACCCUGAUGCAGCGACGCCGCGUGGAGGAAGAAGGUCUUCGGAUUGUAAACUCCUGUUGUUGAGGAAGAUAAUGACGGUACUCAACAAGGAAGUGACGGCUAACUACGUGCCAGCAGCCGCGGUAAAACGUAGGUCACAAGCGUUGUCCGGAAUUACUGGGUGUAAAGGGAGCGCAGGCGGGAAGACAAGUUGGAAGUGAAAUCCAUGGGCUCAACCCAUGAACUGCUUUCAAAACUGUUUUUCUUGAGUAGUGCAGAGGUAGGCGGAAUUCCCGGUGUAGCGGUGGAAUGCGUAGAUAUCGGGAGGAACACCAGUGGCGAAGGCGGCCUACUGGGCACCAACUGACGCUGAGGCUCGAAAGUGUGGGUAGCAAACAGGAUUAGAUACCCUGGUAGUCCACACUGUAAACGAUGAUUACUAGGUGUUGGAGGAUUGACCCCUUCAGUGCCGCAGUUAACACAAUAAGUAAUCCACCUGGGGAGUACGACCGCAAGGUUGAAACUCAAAGGAAUUGACGGGGGCCCGCACAAGCAGUGGAGUAUGUGGUUUAAUUCGACGCAACGCGAAGAACCUUACCAAGUCUUGACAU